GACGAACGCUGGCGGCGUGCUUAACACAUGCAAGUCGAACGGUGACGAGGAGCUUGCUCCUCUGAUCAGUGGCGAACGGGUGAGUAACACGUGAGCAACCUGCCCCAGACUCUGGGAUAACAGUUGGAAACAGCUGCUAAUACCGGAUACGAGACGGAGAGGCAUCUCUACCGUCUGGAAAGUUUCUCGGUCUGGGAUGGACUCGCGGCCUAUCAGCUAGUUGGUGAGGUAACGGCUCACCAAGGCGACGACGGGUAGCCGGCCUGAGAGGGCGACCGGCCACACUGGGACUGAGACACGGCCCAGACUCCUACGGGAGGCAGCAGUGGGGAAUAUUGCACAAUGGGCGAAAGCCUGAUGCAGCGACGCCGCGUGAGGGAUGAAGGCCUUCGGGUUGUAAACCUCUUUCAGCAGGGAAGAAGCGAAAGUGACGGUACCUGCAGAAGAAGCACCGGCUAACUACGUG
rnacentral:rRNA from 1 species